UACGUAGGGGGCGAGCGUUGUCCGGAGUUACUGGGCGUAAAGGGCGCGUAGGCGGCCUUCUAAGUCGAACGUGAAAUCCCCGGGCUCAACCCGGGAACUGCGUCCGAUACUGGAAGGCUUGAAUCCGGGAGAGGGAUGCGGAAUUCCAGGUGUAGCGGUGAAAUGCGUAGAUAUCUGGAGGAACACCGGUGGCGAAGGCGGCAUCCUGGACCGGCAUUGACGCUGAGGCGCGAAAGCCAGGGGAGCAAACGGG
rnacentral:rRNA from 1 species